rnacentral:rRNA from 1 species
GACGAACGCUGGCGGCGUGCCUUACACAUGCAAGUCGAACGGUGAAGGUGGAGCUUGCUCCGCCGGAUCAGUGGCGAACGGGUGAGUAACACGUGGGCAACCUGCCCCUAACUUUGGGAUAACUACUCGAAAGAGUAACUAAUACCGGAUAUGAAGUCUGUAGGCAUCUAUGGACUUGGAAAGUUUUUCGGUUAGGGAUGGGCCCGCGGCCUAUCAGCUUGUUGGUGAGGUAGUGGCUCACCAAGGCGACGACGGGUAGCCGGCCUGAGAGGGCGACCGGCCACACUGGGACUGAGACACGGCCCAGACUCCUACGGGAGGCAGCAGUGGGGAAUAUUGCGCAAUGGGCGAAAGCCUGACGCAGCAACGCCGCGUGCGGGAUGAAGGCCUUCGGGUUGUAAACCGCUUUCAGCAGGGAAGAAGCGAAAGUGACGGUACCUGCAGAAGAAGCACCGGCUAACUACGUGCCAGCCGCCGCGGUAA